CACGGUUGGGGUGCCUCCUAACGCUGAGCCGGCCUGAGACCUGGGAGCUGGAAGGCCGCUGUGCCUGCUAUUCCGAGGCGAGUCUCAGGCUCGGCGUGGGCGCCAUCCGACCUGACUCUGUCUCGGGGUCGCGACGGGGUCUGCAGAGCCCGAUCCCGCAUUCACCAACGGACUUCUUUGGCGGCAGCCACAUUGAUGGUUCCGACUCAGGUUCCACAUUCAGAAGAACCACUUAUGGACCCGUCACUGGUGAGUGUCUGGUGUCCUGGAUGUCUUUGCUGCUACUCUUUCUGGACUUGGUGUCUAGAGACCCUAGAGAAACCCUCAGCCCAGGUUUCCAAGUCCAAGCCAGAGGUUCCAUGGGGAGAUUCACAUUUUUGGCAGCCAAUGGCCUAAAUGUGAAAGCUUAUCUUAGGUACUGGGGGAAAUCCACACAAAUACUUGAGGAUGCAACUGAGAUGGGUGUGUUUUAGAGCUUGUAAGUCUCUGUUAAUGUCUGGUGAGGACAGAGAGCAAGAAAGCCAGAGUAAGGCCUAGAAAGAUACUCUGCUGAGAAGCUGUGCUCUCAGAAGUCUGUUCAGAGUGAUGGCUGCUACUGCUGCUGCUAAGUCACUUCAGUCGUGUCCGACUCUGUGUGACCCCAUAGACGGAAGCCCACCAGGCUCCCCUGUCCCUGGGAUUCUCCAGCAGCCAUGGAGUAUUUGGAAUAGAGAAGAAGAGUGAUCUUACUUAGGUUUUAAGAGGCUCCCUCUUCAGUGGAGAGUGCAGAACAGACUAGGGGAGGGAAAGACAAGGAGAUAAUCAAGGAGGCUAUUGUAGUCAUCCAGAUGAGCAUUGGUUGUGACUGGACAGAGGGGUGGAUAUGGAGGUAGGAGAAAUACCUGGCUUCAGGAUUUUUACAAGUAGGGCUGACCAGAUUUUCUAAAAUGGAGGGGUCAUACAUAACACCAGAGUUUAUUCCCUUUGCAUCUGGAAGGGUGGAAGUUGCAUUAACUGAUCCAGGGAAGUCAGUGGUAGCAGUCGUUUUCACUGAGAAU
rnacentral:lncRNA from 1 species